rnacentral:rRNA from 1 species
CCUACGGGAGGCAGCAGUGAGGAAUAUUGGUCAAUGGACGAGAGUCUGAACCAGCCAAGUAGCGUGAAGGAUGACUGCCCUAUGGGUUGUAAACUUCUUUUAUAAAGGAAUAAAACGAGGCACGUGUGCCUUUUUGCAUGUACUUUAUGAAUAAGGAUCGGCUAACUCCGUGCCAGCAGCCGCGGUAAUACGGAGGAUCCGAGCGUUAUCCGGAUUUAUUGGGUUUAAAGGGAGCGUAGAUGGGUUGUUAAGUCAGUUGUGAAAGUUUGCGGCUCAACCGUAAAGUUGCAAUUGAUACUGGCUGUCUUGAGUGCAGGUGAGGUAGGCGGAAUUCGUGGUGUAGCGGUGAAAUGCUUAGAUAUCACGAAGAACCCCGAUUGCGAAGGCAGCUUACUAAACUGUGACUGACAUUGAUGCUCGAAAGUGUGGGUAUCAAACAGGAUUAGAUACCCCGGUAGUC